UACAAGGUUAUGUUCACAUUGAGAUGUUGAGGUUAUUGGAUGUUAUAGGCACAGCCUAGGUCCUCUGCUGGUUUGAAGUAUUCAAUCGUCAAGGUUCUAAAAUAGCGAGAAAUAUUUAGUCCAGCUCCUGAUAUUCUUACAAUUGAUAAUUGAAUAAUCAAAAAAAGUUACUCCAUCAUGAAUAUUCUGGGUAGAAUUUUUCAUAUUUUGAGAAGGGACAUUACCACUCGUGGAUUUAAUAUUUCGCAAAGGGAAUAUUCCUUCAAAAGUGCUUUUGCACUCGAAAAUUUGUAUCCAAAGAGUAAUGUUAAGCUUUACCACCCAGAAUUUAAGAAUGAGCAUCCAAAAGUCGAAUUUACUGGUUUCAUACCUAUGGAUAAAUUGACAGUUACCUACUCCCGUAGCAGUGGUCCUGGAGGACAACACGUUAACACUGUCAACACCAAAGUCGAUCUAAGAUUCGAAGUUAAGAGUGCUGAUUGGAUCUCUCAAGAUAUUAGGGAAAAAUUAUUGGUACAGG